rnacentral:rRNA from 1 species
UACGUAGGGGGCGAGCGUUGUCCGGAAUCAUUGGGCGUAAAGAGCGUGUAGGCGGCUUGGCAAGUCUGACGUGAAAGCCCGCGGCUCAACCGCGGAUUGUCGUUGGAAACUGCCUCGCUAGAGUCCGGAAGAGGAGAGCGGAAUUCCUGGUGUAGCGGUGAAAUGCGUAGAUAUCGAGGAGGAACACCGGUGGCGAAGGCGGGUCCC